AGCAGAAAAGAGUAACAAAACUGGCAUUAUCACUUGUUUGUACUCUAUGUUCCCAUCAUGAUCUCACACACCUGCUAAACUGCCACGUAGACUAAGAUUAUAAAAGCUGAGACCCAACUCUUGUUCAUUGGUCUCUUAACUCUGCACCUUUUGAGUGAUUGUUAACCAGCUCCGGAAUUGCAAUUCUUAUCAUUAAACAACUUGUUUUAAAGAAUCUACAGUCUCUCUUCCUUUCUGGUGAUGGGCAUGAGGAUGAGAUGGCUAACUCCGCUUGCUGAUCGUUCCCAGGGAGACCGAGGUUAACUGUGCACAGGGUCUACAAUAGGUGUGGCUCAGGGAGCCCACACACCAAUCCAAGGAGCAGAAGGGACCCGACUCGGAUCCAAUUAGGGAGCGUCAGUGGACGGAUUCACCAUCACGAAUAGACUAAAUAAAGCGUUUGGAGUGUCCGAGGUGGGAUCAGAUGUGGUCAGUCAAUGUGUCAGGCCACUCAGGAACAUCUCAGAGACCUGCUGGAGAAAGUCACUGGAGAAAGUCACUGGUAGCACAACAUCGGAAGAUGGCCUUCAAGCUGCAACACAGAGAAGCCAACCUCACUGCCCUGGUUGCCAUUGGACCUCGCAGGACGGGACCACUUGACUCCCCUGGAAACCAGGUGGGGCCAGCAGACAGUAUGUCAGUACUACAGAGGGCUGGGGGUCAGAGGAUGAUUUGGGUCUUUCUGCCUGGAACAGGACCCUCCUCUACAACACUCUCUCAAGUCCCUGCUUUAGUGAGAACAGUGUGAUUAAACAGCAUAAUUACAAUCCAUCUCUCUUCCACCUUGUGUCGUUGAUAUUUGUUUUGUAUCAUUAUGGUUAUUUUUAUUUUCUAACAAUUUGUAGCACUGCCAACAAUGUCACUGAGCUCUGCUGGUACAUGCUGAGAAAUAUUACAGUCAUGUUGGCAGGACCAAAAAACUAAAUAUUUCACUUAUUGACAGGGCAAUUCUGUGUGUGAGAGAAGAGGUCAGAACACUAUAAGUCAGCUCUGUGUGUUUACAGCCCAAAGCAUUGGCCCUCUGACCUUAGUGUGAUUCAGAGAGUGGUCUGCCAUGAGGUCACUGUCUUUUUCCUUGUUUUUCAGUUCAGUUUCAUGCUAAAAAUAUCACAGACUGAUUGAUGUCUGUGACAGCCAUUCCUUACUCUGAUGUUUACAUGGGUCACCUGAUGAUUGUAAACCUGUGACAAUUCAAUUAAGUUUAUGGAGGGAUUCCAUACAAAACCAGGACAAAAAAAUACAAUGAUUUUAGGGAUUUUCAAAAAAAAUGAAUCCUUACAAUGGUCCUUUGAAAGAAGGAAUAUUAACAUAUAUUAGAAAUUUGUAUCUAAAAGCAUAAUUGAAUAAUAAUUUAUCAAAGUUGGCAUUUUGACCUUAACCAGGCCUCCUUCAAAGAGCGACUGCACUUCCUGAUUUGACCUCAUUUUAGAUUUGGUUCAUUAACAAAUGUUAGCGGACAUGACUAAGUUGAUACGCAAGUUGGUUUCUUGGUAUGGUUUGAUGCGGGGGUCUCAUGUGUGUGUUGGUUCGAAGGAGGCUAGAAUCACUCUAUAGCCAACCAAUUUGAUUGACUGUAAUUGUGUACGUUUAUAGUAUAUCAGUGAUUCUUUGUUUUUUGCCUCAUUACUCACAUAUUGUCAUUUACAUUUUAUGUUGACACCUUUAGGUGGUCGCUUGGAGGAAAAAUAGCCAUCCUUUGGGGCGUGUGUGUGUGGAAAUGUGUGUCGGGGAGAGUUGUGGAUGUGGGUUGUGUUUGAGAUUCAUUAUUCCAUUACCUUUAAAUAUGGCAGAGCUUUAGGCACAGCUUUAGGCACAGCUUUACCCCGGGUUAUGAAAUACGGAGAGAGGGAGGAGAGAAUAAAAUGGAUCAGAAUUAUUUUAGCUGAAAUGACUGCUGACCUCUAACGUAACAGUAAGCUAGGCAAAUCAACAGUGUGCCAGUUAAAGCAGGAUAUGAUUGUUGGCCCUUUAAUCGAGGUCAGCUAUGCAGACUGUUCCAAAUAACUGCCAGCUACAGCAGGGGCAAAUAGUGUGAGGGUAUUUUCAUUUGUGUGAUUACUGUUUUAUUAGGUGAUUGUUAAAUUAUUGAUUGUUGUCGUCGGUAAUGUUAACAAGCGCACCAUCAUGUGAUCAUCACUCUUCCUGUUGCUGUUCCAGAUCAAAGACAACCCCCUCCCUCCUCUGACAGCUCGUCAAAUCCAGGAAGACAAAAGCAAUUCUGAAUAAUUGAGAUUCAUAAAUUGCUCAUGCAUAUUCAUGAACUACUUCCUCUUAAAAUCUGAACCAAGUGAGAUAUUUACCAUGGUGGUAUCUAAAGUUAAUGCAAACCUCCCCCUAAACUUUCCGGUUUCAAUUCUACCGUCAGUCUGCAGUGAUGGAAGGCUCAGAUUACA